rnacentral:rRNA from 1 species
UACAGAGGUCCCAAGCGUUGUUCGGAUUCACUGGGCGUAAAGGGUGCGCAGGUGGUCGGGUAAGUCUGAUGUGAAAUCCCGCAGCUCAACUGCGGAAUGGCAUUGGAUACUAUUUGGCUAGAGGGUUGGAGGGGGGACUGGAAUUCCCGGUGUAGUGGUGAAAUGCGUAGAUAUCGGGAGGAACACCAGCGGCGAAGGCGGCAUCCUGGACCAACACUGACACUGAGGAGCGAAAGCCAGGGGAGCAAACGGG